AGUUAUUUUCCCAUUUAAAACUAAAAACAAAACCUUGCUACAGUAUUACGUUUUAAGUAGGGUCUGAACAAAUUUUUUGUUUACUCAGACCCCUCUUCCACUCUUAAACCUAAACCUCCACAGCCUUCAUGUAAAUGAGACAGCCUGGGGGAACAGUCCUCCCCUCUGGCAUCCAGGCAACCACUUGGCUCACAAGAGCAAUCGAGUAUCUCCGGCUGGAAAGUGAAUAGAGCACUCUUAUUUCCCAAAGGAAAGGAGAAAGUCCGCAUCCCAAACAAGUGCAUCCUUCCUCGAGGGCCUCCGAACUGCCACGUCUGGUCCUCUCUCAACGCCGAAAACUAAGAGCAGGUAAAGGAGAUGCUGAUGGACGUGCCCCCUGUGAAGCUGACCUGGGUUAGCCAAGGUCCCAGCCUUGGUCCGUAUGUCUAAAGUCAGAAGUCGUGUCACUUGGACUCUGAAAUGAAUGUGGAAACUUAAGCAAAAGGAGAGAAAGAGGGAGUUGUGAAGAACAUUUAGAAGCAGAGACAGGGUUUUGCCAUGUUGCCCAGGCUGGUCUCAAACUCCUCUGAUCAAAGAAUCUGCCCAUCUUAGCCUUCCAAAGUGCUGGGAUUAUAGGAGUGAGCCACUGUGCCCAGCCAUGGAUAAAACUUCAGAGAGGAACACCCUGGUCAGUUUGAUGAUUUGGGAGAUGGUUGGAAAGAAGCAGAUGGCAAGUGAGCAGGAAAAGGGAAGAAGAAUUGGUUAAAAGGAAAUUUGGACACAUUUGUUAGUUCAAUAAUGUAGUUCUUGUUCUUGGCCCCUUUUCACAUAGAAUGAAAAUGUUUACAAAAAACUUGGAAUAAAAUUAUACAAUACUUACAAUUA